ACUCACUCCGUUUUACCUGAUGCAAAAUCAAGUUGAUUUUCUUCUUCCUUCACCUGACCAAAUCACCUGCUCAAGCUGUAUGACUGUAUAACCAGGAAAAUACAGAAAGAACUUGUCAGGAGCUUGAAGAGAGAGAAAGUGAUCACAUCAACUCGGGAUUAAUGCUUCUUGGAUUUGGCAAUAGGCGUUUCACCGUGAUAUUGCAAGUCAUGCCUUUGACAAGAAGACUAAUCACAUUGCUGUUGUGAAGGAAUGUGAUGCUAAGGACCGGAGUAAGUUGCAUCUGUCUUGAUCCUUUCUUUCCUUGGAAAGUGUGACAUUACUUCCUUUCCUCCCCUCUUCAAUCAACUGUUUGGCCUUAUCAACGCACUUGAGGGCAAUGACAUAGCUAAGGCUUGUCUAAACUGAUUUGAAAACUUCCUGUGGCCACAAAAGAUGACUUAUUUACCUGAAAAAGUCAUCCUGAAGACCCUUUUGUUCUGCUUGCACUCAGUGCAGAGCAGUAUCAUUCUUCUGUGUAGGACCUUUUAA
rnacentral:lncRNA from 14 species